rnacentral:rRNA from 1 species
ACUUAUUAGGAUGAUAUAUAAAAAUAUUUUAUUUUAUUUAUAAAUAUUAAAUAUUUAUAAUAAUAAUAAUAAUAUAUAUAUAUAAAUUGAUUAAAAAUAAAAUCCAUAAAUAAUUAAAAUAAUGAUAUUAAUUACCAUAUAUAUUUUUAUAUGGAUAUAUAUAUUAAUAAUAAAAUUAAUUUAUUAUUAUUAAUAAUAUAUUUUAAUAGUCCUGACUAAUAUUUGUGCCAGCAGUCGCGGUAACACAAAGAGGGCGAGCGUUAAUCAUAAUGGUUUAAAGGAUCCGUAGAAUGAAUUAUAUAUUAUAAUUUAGAGUUAAUAAAUAUAAUUAAAGAAUUAUAAUAGUAAAGAUGAAAUAAUAAUAAUAAUUAUAAGACUAAUAUAUGUGAAAAUAUUAAUUAAAUAUUAACUGACAUUGAGGGAUUAAAACUAGAGUAGCGAAACGGAUUCGAUACCCGUGUAGUUCUAGUAGUAAACUAUGAAUACAAUUAUUUAUAAUAUAUAUUAUAUAUAAAUAAUAAAUGAAAAUGAAAGUAUUCCACCUGAAGAGUACGUUAGCAAUAAUG